GGAAAAUUUAAUGGCUUACUUCUAAUAAGUCUAAGAAUAGUUUCUAUUCAUUUUCCU
rnacentral:tRNA from 1 species